rnacentral:rRNA from 1 species
CAGUAGCCGCGGUAAUACGAAGGGGGCUAGCGUUGUUCGGAAUUACUGGGCGUAAAGCGCACGCAGGCGGCUCGAUAAAUUAGAAGUGAAAGCCUUGGGCUUAACCUGAGAAUUGCUUUUAAGACUGUCGAGCUAGAAUCCAGAAGAGGGUAGUGGAAUUCCGAGUGUAGAGGUGAAAUUCGUAGAUAUUCGGAAGAACACCAGUGGCGAAGGCGACUACCUGGUCUGGCAUUGACGCUCAUGUGCGAAAGCGUGGGGAGCAAACAGGAUUAGAGACCCGCGUAGUCCCUGUCUCUUAUAC